AACGAACGCUGGCGGCAUGCCUAACACAUGCAAGUCGAACGAUCCCUUCGGGGAUAGUGGCGCACUGGUGCGUAACGCGUGGGAACCUGCCCUUAGGUUCGGAAUAACUCAGAGAAAUUUGAGCUAAUACCGGAUAAUGUCUUCGGACCAAAGAUUUAUCGCCUUUGGAUGGGCCCGCGUUGGAUUAGCUAGUUGGUGGGGUAAAGGCCUACCAAGGCGACGAUCCAUAGCUGGUCUGAGAGGAUGAUCAGCCACACUGGGACUGAGACACGGCCCAGACUCCUACGGGAGGCAGCAGUGGGGAAUAUUGGACAAGGGGCGAAAGCCUGAUCCAGCAAUGCCGGGGGAGUGAUGAAGGCCGUAGGGUUGUAAAGCUCUUUUACCCGGGAUGAUAAUGACGGUACCGGGAGAAUAAGCCCCGGCUAACUCCGUG
rnacentral:rRNA from 1 species